rnacentral:SRP_RNA from 1 species
GCCGGGCGUUGUGGCGGGCGCCUGUGGUCCCAGCUACUUGGGAGGCGGAGGCAGGAGACUCGCUUGAGCCCAGGAGUUGGAGGUUGCUGUGAGCUGUAAUGCCACGGCACUCUACCCAGGGGGACAGCUUGAGGCUCUGUCUCAAAAAAAAAAAAACAACGAACAGAGUCUCAAAGACAUUCAUGAAUCAGUCAUGUUAUAAUGGCAAGGCCAAGAUUUGAACUCCUAUCUUUCCAAAGCGCCCAGUUUUUUUUUUUUUUUUGAGACAGAACCUCAAGCUGUCCCCCUGGGUAGAGUGCCGUGGCAUUACAGCUCACAGCAACCUCCAACUCCUGGG